UACGAAGGGGGCUAGCGUUGCUCGGAAUCACUGGGCGUAAAGGGUGCGUAGGCGGGUCUAUAAGACAGAUGUGAAAUCCCCGGGCUUAACCUGGGAAUGGCGUCUGAAACUACGGAGCUGGAGUGUGGCAGAGGGAGGUAGAAUUCCACGUGUAGCGGUGAAAUGCGUAGAUAUGUGGAGGAAUACCGAUGGCGAAGGCAGCCUCCUGGGCCAACACUGACGCUCAUGCACGAAAGCGUGGGGAGCAAACAGG
rnacentral:rRNA from 1 species